rnacentral:rRNA from 1 species
GACGAACGCUGGCGGCGUGCCUAAUACAUGCAAGUCGAGCGGACCGGAUUGGGGCUUGCCUUGAUUCGGUCAGCGGCGGACGGGUGAGUAACACGUGGGCAACCUGCCCGCAAGACCGGGAUAACUCCGGGAAACCGGAGCUAAUACCGGAUAACACCGAAGACCGCAUGGUCUUCGGUUGAAAGGCGGCCUUUGGGCUGUCACUUGCGGAUGGGCCCGCGGCGCAUUAGCUAGUUGGUGAGGUAACGGCUCACCAAGGCGACGAUGCGUAGCCGGCCUGAGAGGGUGACCGGCCACACUGGGACUGAGACACGGCCCAGACUCCUACGGGAGGCAGCAGUAGGGAAUCUUCCGCAAUGGGCGAAAGCCUGACGGAGCGACGCCGCGUGAGCGAAGAGGGCCUUCGGGUCGUAAAGCUCUGUUGUGAGGGACGAAGGAGCGUCGUUCGAAGAGGGCGGCGCGGUGACGGUACCUCACGAGAAAGCCCCGGCUAACUACGUG